rnacentral:rRNA from 1 species
AGCAGGCGCGAAACCUUUACACUGCACGCAAGUGCGAUAGGGGGACACCGAGUGCGAGGGCAUAGAGCCCUCGCUUUUGUGCAUCGUAAGGUGGUACACGAAUAAGGGCUGGGCAAGACCGGUGCCAGCCGCCGCGGUAACACCGGCAGCCCGAGUGAUGGCCGCUUUUAUUGGGCCUAAAGCGUCCGUAGCCGGCCGUUCAGGUCCGUCGGGAAAUCCACUGGCUCAACCAGUGGGCGUCCGGCGGAAACCGAUCGGCUUGGGACAGGGAGACCAGAGGGGUACGUCCGGGGUAGGAGUGAAAUCCUGUAAUCCUGGACGGACCACCGGUGGCGAAAGCGCCUCUGGAGAACUGAUCCGACGGUGAGGGACGAAAGCUGGGGUCUCGAACCGGAUUAGAUACCCGGGUAGUCCCAGCUGUAAACGAUGCUCGCUAGGUGUGUCGCAGCUACGAGCCUGCGAUGUGCCGUAGGGAAGCCGAGAAGCGAGCCGC